GAUGAACGCUAGCUACAGGCUUAACACAUGCAAGUCGAGGGGAAACGGCAUUUAGUGCUUGCACCGAAUGGACGUCGACCGGCGCACGGGUGAGUAACGCGUAUCCAACCUACCCAUUACUGUGGGAUAACCUGCCGAAAGGCAGACUAAUACCGCAUAGUCUUCGAUGACGGCAUCAGAUUUGAAGUAAAGAUUUAUCGGUAAUGGAUGGGGAUGCGUCUGAUUAGCUUGUUGGCGGGGUAACGGCCCACCAAGGCAACGAUCAGUAGGGGUUCUGAGAGGAAGGUCCCCCACAUUGGAACUGAGAUACGGUCCAAACUCCUACGGGAGGCAGCAGUGAGGAAUAUUGGUCAAUGGGCGCGAGCCUGAACCAGCCAAGUAGCGUGCAGGAUGACGGCCCUAUGGGUUGUAAACUGCUUUUGUAUGGGGAUAAAGUCAAUCACGUGUGAUUGUUUGCAGGUACCAUACGAAUAGGGACCGGCUAAUUCCGUGCCAGCAGCCGCGGUAAUACGGAAGGUCCGGGCGUUAUCCGGAUUUAUUGGGUUUAAAGGGAGCGUAGGCCGGAGAUUAAGUGUGUUGUGAAAUGUAGACGCUCAACGUCUGACUUGCAGCGCAUACUGGUUUCCUUGAGUACGCACAACGUUGGCGGAAUUCGUCGUGUAGCGGUGAAAUGCUUAGAUAUGACGAAGAACUCCGAUUGCGAAGGCAGCUGACGGGAGCGCAACUGACGCUUAAGCUCGAAGGUGCGGGUAUCGAACAGG
rnacentral:rRNA from 1 species